rnacentral:rRNA from 1 species
GAUGAACGCUGGCGGCGUGCCUAAUACAUGCAAGUCGAGCGAACAGACGAGUACUUUGCUCCGCUGACGAUAGCGGCGGACGGGUGAGUAACACGUGGAUAACCUCUCUAUAAGACUGGGACAACUCCGGGAAAGGGUUACUACCGCCGACGAUCCACUUAAACCACCGGGGUAACUUCGGACCUCGGGUUUUAGGGUUGGUCCGUGGCGCAUCCGCGCGUUGGUGGGGUAUAGGCAUAGCAAGGCGUCGAUGAGUCGCCGGUCUGAGAGGGCGACCAGCCACACUGGAACUGAGACACGGGCCAGAAUCCUACGGGAGGCAACAGGAGGGAAUCUUCCGCAAUGGGGGGAAGCCUGAUGGAACAACGCCGCGGGAGUGAAGAAGGGCUUCGGAUCGUAAAACUCUGUUAUUAGGGAAAAACAAAUGUGUAAGUAACUAUGCACGUCUUGACGGUACCUAGACAGAAAAGCACGGCUAACUACGGG